UGCCCUGUGAUCCUCCAGCGAGGGGUGGUAUAGGAAUUUAAUAAAUAAUAAUAAUGCUGCUUAUUUUGUAUUCCAAAAUCCAGGUCAGAUUUCCCCAUAUGUAUGAAGGAGCUUGGUAUGAAAGGACUAGAGGAGGAGACAGUUAAAGGAUGAAGUUGAAAUACCAAGUUUUCAAAGGAAUUUCUUUCUGGAGCUAACACCAUGCUUUUACAGAAGGAGCAAUAUCCAAUUAAGUCAUACUGAGACAGAAAUACCUACAGAAAUAAAUUGACUUCAAUUAUUUCAAUGGGUCUACUCUUAAGUCUGAAUUACACAGAAUAUCACCCAAUGACUUUGAACUAUCUUACCUUACAGUAUCUUAGAGAUUCCAUAAGUGUCAAAAAACCAACAGUUGCUUGUUUAUGUAUUCCAAGUAGUUCUGAAGAGAAAUAGAACUCUGUAUUAGAUUGCAAAAUUUGAGUCAUGCUACAGUUUCCUUCUUAAAACAUGCCAUGACACUUUGGCCUACAAUCAAUCAUGUAACAGAGGACAUAAAAGCUAGGCAGAGAAAUAAGGGUGCAAUCCUAUUCCUAAAAUCCUCUGACUGAAUAGACCUUGGAAGUGACAAAACUACUGCCUGACUCAUGGAGAGCAAAUCGUGUUGAUGGAAUGAGAUAUCUACCCCCAGAAUGAUGGUGGAAGGCUAGAGACAGAGGCCAAAGUAUGGUGGUGGAGGGGGGCAUUCUUGGCCCAAGCCCUAUUACAAAUUUUCAAGAGUAACUUAGCAUGGAAAUCAAGUCAUAACAACAGAACAAAAAACUGAUAAACACAUACAACAGAAGAAUUAUUUCUCUCUUUUGUUUACAAGAAGCUUUUUGUUGAUGCCAAAUAUAUGAUGAACUCUUAAAAGCAAACAGUGCUAAGAACUAGAACAUCCUUCUCAAUGGGCUUUUUCUUUCCAUUGCCAACUUGUACUCUGUGCAGAAAAUUUUGAAGAAAAUUGGCUUGUAAAAAGGCCACUCUAAGAAAAACUGAAAACACAGUUGGUGUACUACAAAUUUAUCUGAACUCAAGAGCAUGCUGUUAACAUAUCAGCAAAAUCUGCCCCAAGCCUGCCUGCUUAACUUGAGGCAAACUCCUCCUCUCCCCCAGCCCGUUUUGCAUUCUGUAAGGGAGAGUUGCGUGGCGAUUCCCGCCCCCUCCCACAGAUGGAAUAAAUAAAGACACCGGACACCAGAACUUAGGUUAAUGGGCGAAAAUGGCCACAACUUCACUGAUUACAGGUAAGAGUGGUAUUGGCUUUUAGGCAUUGGCCCUAACAGACUAUCUGGGAAUGGCUUUAUAAAACAUCUCAAGAAAGGUGCACAUAUGUUGCCUGGACAAGUGGUUCCCCAAACCUCCCCCUCCCACUAUGAACCACUUGAAAAUCAGUACUUUUGUUUAUUAUUAUUAUUUCUUUAAUUGAUUAAUUAAUCAAAAUUGAGUGGGCUACUUUUUAUGAAAUAACAAAUAAAAUAUAACCACCAAACUGA